CAGCACCUCAAGUGGUCAGGAUGAUUAUUGGGCCUAAAGCAUCCGUAGCCGGCGCUGUAAGUUUUCGGUUAAAUCUGUACGCUCAACGUACAGGCUGCCGGGAAUACUGCAGCGCUAGGGAGUGGGAGAGGUAGACGGUACUCGGUAGGAAGGGGUAAAAUCCUUUGAUCUAUUGAUGACCACCUGUGGCGAAGGCGGUCUACCAGAACACGUUCGACGGUGAGGGAUGAAAGCUGGGGGAGCAAACCGGAUUAGAUACCCGAGUAGUCC
rnacentral:rRNA from 1 species